rnacentral:rRNA from 1 species
GACGAACGCUGGCGGCGUGCCUAAUACAUGCAAGUCGAGCGCAGGAAACUGACGGAACUCUUCGGAGGGAAGGCAGUGGAAUGAGCGGCGGACGGGUGAGUAACACGUAAGGAACCUGCCUCAAGGAUUGGGAUAACUCCGAGAAAUCGGAGCUAAUACCGGAUAGUUCAACGGACCGCAUGGUCCGCUGAAGAAAGGCGCUCCGGCGUCACCUUGAGAUGGCCUUGCGGUGCAUUAGCUAGUUGGUGGGGUAACGGCCCACCAAGGAGACGAUGCAUAGCCGACCUGAGAGGGUGAUCGGCCACACUGGGACUGAGACACGGCCCAGACUCCUACGGGAGGCAGCAGUAGGGAGUCUUCCACAAUGGACGAAAGUCUGAUGGAGCAACGCCGCGUGAGUGAUGAAGGUUUUCGGAUCGUAAAACUCUGUUGUAAGGGAAGAACACGUACGAGAGGAAAUGCUCGUACCUUGACGGUACCUUACGAGAAAGCCACGGCUAACUACGUGCCAGCCGCCGCGGUAA